rnacentral:rRNA from 1 species
UACGUAGGGCGCAAGCGUUAUCCGGAAUUAUUGGGCGUAAAGAGCUCGUAGGCGGUUUGUCGCGUCCGUUGUGAAAACUCGAGGCUCAACCUCGGGCUUGCAGUGGAUACGGGCAGACUAGAGUGCGGUAGGGGAGACUGGAAUUCCUGGUGUAGCGGUGGAAUGCGCAGAUAUCAGGAGGAACACCGAUGGCGAAGGCAGGUCUCUGGGCCGCAACUGACGCUGAGGAGCGAAAGCGUGGGGAGCGAACAGG